rnacentral:rRNA from 1 species
UACGUAGGGGGCAAGCGUUGUCCGGAAUCAUUGGGCGUAAAGCGCGCGUAGGCGGCCCUGUAAGUCCGCUGUGAAAGUCAAAGGCUCAACCUUUGAAAGCCGGUGGAUACUGCAGGGCUAGAGUCCGGAAGAGGCGAGUGGAAUUCCUGGUGUAGCGGUGGAAUGCGCAGAUAUCAGGAGGAACACCGGUGGCGAAGGCGGGUCUCUGGGCCGAUACUGACGCUGAGGAGCGAAAGCGUGGGGAGCGAACAGG